AUGGAGAACAGACUCCUGGGUGAGAUCCCUGGGCACAGGAUCCAGAUGACUGUGACUGCAAAGCUGCUGACUACCCAGCACUGCAGAAUCCACAGAGGAAGGAGGGCUCUGGCCACCAGGGAGGAGCGACAUGAGAGCAGAGGACCCGGUGUCCCCACAGGCUCCUGGGCCCAGUCUGUGCUGACGCAGCCGCCCUCAGUGUCUGCGGCCCCAGGGCAGAGGGUCACCAUCUCCUGCUCUGGAAGCAGCUCCAACAUCGGGAGAGGUUAUGUAUCCUGGUACCAGCAGCUCCCAGGAACAGCCCCCAAACUCCUCAUCUAUGACAAUAAUAAGCGACCCUCAGGGAUUUCUGACCGAUUCUCUGGCUCCAAGUCUGGUAACUCAGCCUCCCUGACCAUCACUGGACUCCAGACUGGAGAUGAGGCUGAUUAUUACUGCGGAGCAUGGGAUAGCAGCCUGAGUGCUCGCACGGUGCUCCAGGCCAAUGGGGAACUGAGACAAGAACCCCCUUCCUCCUCUGCCAGGAGGAAAUAAAGAGGAGGCCGCCACAGAGGACAUGGGGAGGUCCAGACAUUAUACUGGGCAGCAGAGCCAGGCAGUCCCUCAGAGGAUGGAGGGAGGUGGUGGAGGUGUCUGGGACCAGAAAAUAGUGAGGGCGCUCUUACUAAAGUGAGGAGGGG